rnacentral:rRNA from 1 species
UACGAAGGGGGCUAGCGUUGCUCGGAAUCACUGGGCGUAAAGCGCACGUAGGCGGAUCUUUAAGUCAGGGGUGAAAUCCUGGAGCUCAACUCCAGAACUGCCUUUGAUACUGUGGAUCUUGAGUUCGGGAGAGGUGAGUGGAACUGCGAGUGUAGAGGUGAAAUUCGUAGAUAUCGAGAGGAACACCGGUGGCGAAGGCGGCCAACUGGACGAAUACUGACGCUGAGACUCGAAAGCGUGGGGAGCAAACAGG